UACGUAGGGUGCGAGCGUUAAUCGGAAUUACUGGGCGUAAAGCGUGCGCAGGCGGUUCGCCAAGUCAGGUGUGAAAUCCCCGGGCUUAACCUGGGAAUUGCGCUUGAAACUAGCGGGCUUGAGUGCGGCAGAGGGGGGUGGAAUUCCACGUGUAGCAGUGAAAUGCGUAGAGAUGUGGAGGAACACCGAUGGCGAAGGCAGCCCCCUGGGUCAACACUGACGCUCAUGCACGAAAGCGUGGGGAGCAAACAGG
rnacentral:rRNA from 1 species